GCCUGGGUGGCUCAGUUGGUUAAGCGUCCGACUUCGGCUCAGGUCAUGAUCUCGAAGUUCGUGGGUUUGAGCCCCACGUCGGGCU
rfam:Felis catus isolate Cinnamon breed Abyssinian chromosome X, whole genome shotgun sequence.